rnacentral:rRNA from 1 species
AGUGAACGCUGGCGGUAGGCCUAACACAUGCAAGUCGAACGGCAGCACAGUAAGAGCUUGCUCUUACGGGUGGCGAGUGGCGGACGGGUGAGGAAUACAUCGGAAUCUACUUUUUCGUGGGGGAUAACGUAGGGAAACUUACGCUAAUACCGCAUACGACCUACGGGUGAAAGCAGGGGAUCUUCGGACCUUGCGCGAUUGAAUGAGCCGAUGUCGGAUUAGCUAGUUGGCGGGGUAAAGGCCCACCAAGGCGACGAUCCGUAGCUGGUCUGAGAGGAUGAACAGCCACACUGGAACUGGGACACGGUCCAGACUCCUACGGGAGGCAGCAGUGGGGAAUAUUGGACAAUGGGCGCAGGCCUGAUCCAGCCAUACCGCGUGGGUGAAGAAGGCCUUCGGGUUGUAAAGCCCUUUUGUUGGGAAAGAAAAGCAGCAGGUUAAUACCCCGCUGUUCUGACGGUACCCAAAGAAUAAGCACCGGCUAACUUCGUG